rnacentral:rRNA from 1 species
AACGAACGCUGGCGGCAGGCCUAACACAUGCAAGUCGAACGCCGUAGCAAUACGGAGUGGCAGACGGGUGAGUAACACGUGGGAACGUACCUUUCGGUUCGGAAUAACUCAGGGAAACUUGAGCUAAUACCGGAUACGUGCGAGAGCAGAAAGAUUUAUCGCCGAAAGAUCGGCCCGCGUCCGAUUAGCUUGUUGGUGAGGUAACGGCUCACCAAGGCGACGAUCGGUAGCUGGUCUGAGAGGAUGAUCAGCCACACUGGGACUGAGACACGGCCCAGACUCCUACGGGAGGCAGCAGUGGGGAAUAUUGGACAAUGGGCGCAAGCCUGAUCCAGCCAUGCCGCGUGAGUGAUGACGGCCUUAGGGUUGUAAAGCUCUUUCGCCAGGGACGAUAAUGACGGUACCUGGAUAAGAAGCCCCGGCUAACUUCGUGCCAGCAGCCGCGGUAAU